rnacentral:rRNA from 1 species
AGAAUCAACACUGGCGGCGUGCCUAACACAUGCAAGUCGAACGAGAAAGUGGAGCAAUCCAUGAGUAAAGUGGCGCACGGGUGAGUAACACGUGACUAACCUACCUUUUAGUGGGGGAUAACCUAGGGAAACCUGGGCUAAUACCGCAUAACACUUACGAGCCAAAGCAGCAAUGCGCUGAAAGAGGGGGUCGCGGCCGAUUAGCUAGUUGGCGGGUAAUGGCCCACCAAGGCAGUGAUCGGUA